AUUGAACGCUGGCGGCAGGCUUAACACAUGCAAGUCGAGCUAGCGGCGGACGGGUGAGUAAUGUCUGGGACACUGCCUGAUGGAGGGGUAUAACUACUGGAAACGGUAGCUAAUACCGCAAACCAUCAGAUGUGCCCAGAUGGGAUUAGCUAGUAGGUGGGGUAAUGGCUCACCUUGGCGACGAUCCCUAGCUGGUCUGAGAGGAUGACAGGCCACACUGGAACUGAGACACGGUCCAGACUCCUACGGGAGGCAGCAGUGGGGAAUAUUGCACAAUGGGCGCAAGCCUGAUGCAGCCAGGCCGCGUGUGUGAAGAAGGCCUUCGGGUUGUAAAGCACUUUCAGAGAGGAGGCGUUACUCGCAGAAGAAGCACCGGCUAACUCCGUGCCAGCAGCCGCGGUAAUUC
rnacentral:rRNA from 1 species